AUUGAACGCUGGCGGAAUGCUUUACACAUGCAAGUCGAACGGCAGCACGGGUGCUUGCACCUGGUGGCGAGUGGCGAACGGGUGAGUAAUACAUCGGAACGUACCCAGUCGUGGGGGAUAACGUAGCGACAGUUACGCUAAUACCGCAUACGUCCUGAGGGAGACAGCGGGGGACCGUAAGGCCUCGCGCGAUCGGCGCGGCCGAUGGCGGAUUAGCUAGUUGGUGGGGUAAAGGCCUACCAAGGCGACGAUCCGUAGCGGGUCUGAGAGGACGGCCCGCCACACUGGAACUGAGACGCGGUCCAGACUCCUACGGGAGGCAGCAGUGGGGAAUUUUGGACAAUGGGCGAAAGCCUGAUCCAGCCAUUCCGCGUGAGUGAAGAAGGCCUUCGGGUUGUAAAGCUCUUUCGGCAGGGAAGAAACGGCUUGGGAUAAUACCCCGGGCUAAUGACGGUACCUGAAGAAGAAGCACCGGCUAACUACGUGCCAGCCGCCGCCGUAA
rnacentral:rRNA from 1 species